CAUCCGUAGCUUUGCAGAAAAGUAGUGAGUCGUCUGCAAACAAUAAAUGCGAUAUUGGAGGACCUUUUUUGCUUGCUCUAAAACCAUGUAAUUGGCCUUUCAAGUUGAAUUCUCGAAUUAAUGCAGAUAAGCCUUCUGAGCAUAUAAGAUAGAGAUAAGGAGAUAUUGGAUCACCUUGACGGAUACCUCUUUGGGGAGUGAUGUUGCCUACUGGAUUACCAUUAACAAGGAUUGAAUAUAAAACUGUGGUUAUGCAUUUCAUAAUCCAUGAACACCACUUAUCUGCAAAUCCCAGCCUCUUCAUCAUUGCUUCAAUGAAAACCCAUUCAACUUUAUCAAAAGCUUUACUAAUAUCCAGUUUGAGAGCCAUAAAGGGAUAUUUAAGGUUUCGAAUAUGAAGCGAGUGAAGCAAUUCAUGAGCAAUAAGGACAUUAUCGGUAAUUAAUCGGCCCGGGAUAAACGCAGUUUGAUUUUCUGAGAUUAUAAGAUGAAGCCAAGGCUUGAGCCUAUCAGCCAAAACUUUGGAAAUAAGCUUAUAAGCUACAUUACAUAGACUUAUAGGCCUAAAGUCUUUCACCUCUUUUGGAUGCUCAACUUUAGGGAUUAGACAUAUAUGAGUAUGAUUAAUUGCAGGGUCUAAAUCUCCAUGAUGAAAGAAAGACUGAGCAAAGCUAAGCACACCUUUUUUAAUAGUUGACCAGUGAUCUUUGUAGAAACCUGCUCCCAACCCAUCGGGUCCUGGAGAUUUGUCUCUGCUCAUUUGUUGAAGAGCUUUAUAUAGUUCUUCUUCGGUGAUAGGCUUGGUUAGACUUUCAUUCAUUUCAGUGGUCACUCUAGGCUGAAGGCAGUCCAGAAUAGCACUCAUAUUCUGAGGCCCUUGUGAAGUAUAGAGAUUGGUGAAAUAUUCCUCAAUGAUACCAUGUAGAUCUUCGUCCUUAUACCUCAGUUCUCCUGUGUUAUCCAUAAGAGAAAUAAUGCGAUUAAAGUUUCUU
rnacentral:lncRNA from 1 species